GCGUUUUAGCUGCAGUCGAACGGUAGAGAAGUGCUUGCACUUCUUGAGAGUGGCGAACGGGUGAGUAACACGUAGGUAAUCUGUCUUAAGAUUGGGGAUAGCCCAUGGAAACAUGGGGUAAUACCGAAUAGUCUCUUUAAUGCAAAUGUGAAAAAGAGUAAAGGCGCUAAGGCGCUGUCUUGAGGUGAGCCUGCGGCUCAUUAGUUAGUUGGUGGGGUAAAGGCCUACCAAGGCGAUGAUGAGUAGCCGGCCUGAGAGGGUGACCGGCCACACUGGGACUGAGACACGGCCCAGACUCCUACGGGAGGCAGCAGCUAAGAAUCUUCCGCAAUGGGCGAAAGCCUGACGGAGCGACGCCGCGUGAACGAAGAAGGCCGAAAGGUUGUAAAGUUCUUUUCUUGACGAGGAAUAACCCUGAGAGGGAAUGCUUGGGGGAUGACGUUACUCAAGGAAUAAGCCACGGCUAAUUACGUGCCAGCAGCCGCGGUAACACGUAAGUGGCAAGCGUUGUUCGGAAUUAUUGGGCGUAAAGGGCGUGUAGGCGGUUUAUCAAGCCUGGUGUGAAAGAUCUCAGCUUAACUGAGGGAACGCGCUGGGAACUGAUAGACUAGAGUACUGGAGGGGAAGCUGGAAUUUCUGGUGUAGGGGUGAAAUCUGUAGAUAUCAGAAAGAACACCGGUGGCGAAGGCGAGCUUCUGGCCAGAUACUGACGCUGAGGCGCGAAAGCGUGGGGAGCGAACAGGAUUAGAUACCCUGGUAGUCCACGCCGUAAACGAUGUGCACUGGGUGUUGGCAGUUAAAUGUCAGUGCCGUAGCUAACGCGUUAAGUGCACCGCCUGGGGAGUAUGCCCGCAAGGGUGAAACUUAAAUGA
rnacentral:rRNA from 1 species